rnacentral:rRNA from 1 species
AAACUAACAAGGAUUCCCCUAGUAGCGGCGAGCGAAGCGGGAAGAGCUCAAAUUUAUAAUCUGGCACUUUCAGUGUCCGAGUUGUAAUCUCUAGAAGUGUUUUCCGCGUUGGACCGCACACAAGUCUGUUGGAAUACAGCGGCACAGUGGUGACACCCCCGUACACGGUGCGGACGCCCAGCGCUUUGUGAUACACUUUCGAAGAGUCGAGUUGUUUGGGAAUGCAGCUCAAAUUGGGUGGUAAAUUCCAUCUAAAGCUAAAUAUUGGCGAGAGACCGAUAGCGAACAAGUACCGUGAGGGAAAGAUGAAAAGCACUUUGGAAAGAGAGUUAACAGUACGUGAAAUUGUUGGAAGGGAAACGCUUGAAGUCAGACUUGCUUGCCGGAGCUUGCUUCGGUUUGCAGGCCAGCAUCAGUUUUCCGGGGUGGAUAAUGGCGGUUAGAAGGUAGCAGCUUCAGCUGUGUUAUAGCUUUCCGCUGGAUACAU